GGGAGCGUUCUGUAUAGGAAGAAGCACUAGCGGCGAGCAGGUGUGGACAGUACAGAAGUGAGAAUGUCGGCUUGAGUAGCGCAAAUGUAUGUGAGAAUCAUACACCCCGAAACCCCAAGGGUUCCAGAGCCAGGUUCGUCCACUCUGGGUUAGUCGGGACCUAAGGCGAGGCCGAACGGCGUAGUCGAUGGACACAGGGUGAAUAAUCCCUGACUAAAGUAUGGGAGGAUUUAUCGGGACGCAUGAGUGGGGACUAAACCCUAAUUGGAUUGGGAGGAGUUUACGAACUCCGCUUAGUUGAAACAAGUGCCAAGAAAAGCGAUAAAUGCGUUGAACAUAUUUUACCCGUACCCGAAACCGACACAGGUGGGGAGGUUGAGAAUACCAAGGGGCGCGAGAUAACUCUCUCUAAGGAACUCGGCAAAAUGGCCCCGUAACUUCGGAAGAAGGGGUACCCAAGGAGACUUGGGUCGCAGUGAAGAGAUCCAGG
rnacentral:rRNA from 1 species